UUCAGCAGCUGGAAGAUCAUUUUCCCAGUCUGGUCACUGCAGGAAAAUACAUAUAUUUAUAUAUUUGAAUCCUGAAUCAUUCAUUCCUCAGUGUCAUUUCAACUCUCAAAGCUCUUCGGGGGAAUGACAUGGGUAACGUUUUGUAUUUUUUCUAGGGUCACGUGGGUUUGUUUUGUUGGGAGCUUGCCUGCUAACGGCAACUUCCUAGCUUUGACUUAUUGAACUAACCUAGCUAAUAACGUCCUCGUCAUUCCUGCAGGUAUUUUAGAUCGAUACAACGCGAGGGGGAGAUGUCAUUGCAGUUUGCAUAUAUUUAUUUAAUUUGGGGCACGUGACAAAAAGAAGAAUGAACAUACGAUGUCGUUUGAAGUGUUUCAUGCGUUGAGACCUGUUUUUGUUGUCGACCUAUAGUCACAUCAUGGUAUAACUAUUCAUAAUUAAUGAGUGGGCUGCCAGUGUUUGAGCUAUUAUCAAACUGGGAUACUCAAUAUGCUAACAAUGGACAACCCCAAAUUAAAAAAGAAAAUUAACCUAAUCAACUUAAAUUAACUGAACUUCGUUUGUUCUUUAGAUUCUAUUAACCAAGUAAAAGUCACAUCAACAGGCUAAGAUAAGGCCACAUGUCUGCUAUUGUUGUAGCACCCUGUGUGGGCUAUGUGACUGCUGUAUGAUCAUACAGUAUGUGUGUGCUCAAAGAUUCACAGGCCACUUUGCUGGUGUGUUUUGAGUGUGAUUGACAUGUGUGUGUUUUCAGCCCAUCUUCUCUCAGUGCAUCUAUCUGCCAAAAAUCCUGAGACUGUUCUUUGGGUUAUAGAUGCUUUGUGUUUCUACCUUUUUAACUGCAAUGUUCUUUAGCGCAAAUAAAUAAUGCCGCAGUCACCUGCCCCCCCCUUUCAGAGGGCCCCCUGCUGCCCCUGUCCUCACUGAGGCUCCUGGUUCCACCUCUGAGGGUGAUGACGGCGGUGAUGUGGAAGGUGCUUCGUCUGAGGAGCGUCACUCAUUAUGGGAUAGUGGAGGAGUUUGUGUCCUUGGUAACUGAAGCCGUCCCUGAUAUCUUGACAGACCGACAGAUGAGGCUGCUCACUCUGGGCUUAAGAGCAAAGAUGACAUUACAGAUGUUAAGUUCUGAACAGUCACAGGAUCGCAGAGGUGUUGAAACACUCUUGAGCAGCCUUCUGCCAUCUCGCUCGAAACAGGCGAGUGUAACUUUUUCAAUUGGGGCCAUUUCUGUCUGUUUAAGAAGUGUUCGGCUUAUAUAUUUAGGUGUGUAUAUUUUCCUUCACAGGUUGAUCCAGGAAAUGAAGCUCUUGAAGCCAACUUCGCCGAGCUCGUUCAAAGACUCCUGGAGGACCCGAAAGAGAGAGAGCACUUCCUCAAGAAUGUGUUUCCUGUGGAGUUUGGGCAUGACUUUGAUGCGGCUUUGGAGACACUGGUUUGUGAGUUUUUCACCAGACUGGAAAAGUUGCUGCUCAUACCAGACUUUAAGCAGACCGCAGUGUGGAUGAGUGAUACACCCUCUCUGCUAGAAGAGUACAUGCAGUGUGUAUCCAAAGAAGAUGACCUUAAAGUACUGCUCAGAAGCAAGGCCCACUGUGGUAAAAUGGCCGAGAUGGAUACCGGUGGUAAGUCAGUGUGCCUUGGAUAACAAUCAGGGGUUUUAUGUGCAUAUUAGUGCUGUGAUUCAUCAGAGUGAUUUCAAAAAUACCAUAGCACAAACACAACCACAGGGACUGCUAAAAUCAACACACAAUUAAAGUUCCUUGUAGUAGCUUUAAUUGAACAAAAUAAUCAACAGAUUAAUUGAUCAUGACAAUUAUUUUUGUUAGCAGCCCCAUUGCAGAUAUAUUACAGACACUUUGAGAAGUAACACCCUUAAUUUGUACUAAAUGUAAAAUAACAAAUCUCUCACUUUUUAAAUGUCUCUUUUCCAACAGUGCCCUCUCCCUCGGAGCAGCGGCUCUUCUCAUCCUUCGCUCUUCCUCCGCGAGAGACCACCUCCAAAGAUGUGGAAUCUAACGCACAAACAUUUCAGAGCCGAAGAGAACCUCAUGGGAUUC
ensembl:lncRNA